GCCUGACUGGCUCAGUUGGAAGAGCAUCUGACUCUUGAUCUUGGGGUUGUGAGUUUAAGCCCCAUGUUGGGUG
rnacentral:tRNA from 1 species